CUCACUGACAUGAAGUCAUUGAACCUGGCGACUGCUUUUACUUUCAUGUUAUCAGGCUGCUUUAAUUCAUUACCCUCUUUGAGGUUUGUCAGGGAAAUUGGAGCUGAACAAAGUUUCCAAGAAAUUUCUUUAAUCUUGCUUGUUUCAUCUUUUUUUUUUUUUGGUUGGUGGUGGUGGUGGGGGUUUGAUUUGUCGGGUGUCACUUUGGGUGAGGCAGCUGUUGAACAGCAAGCAAUUCGAUGCAGUUUAAUCUCUCAAUUUGUGUGACACUGAGUUUUAAUGUUUCGACAUUAGUGUUUUCAGCCUGUUUUUCAUGUAAUGUUUUUUUUCUUGCAUGUUAAUGGUAAAUUAGGAUAAGAGCCAACACUCACUCACUCUCAGCAUUUUCACUAAGUCUUUCCUCUUGUGAGUGUUCAGCUGGCUGACUAAACACUGUAAAACCAGUGUCUGUCAGUGAUAAUUACUUAUGCAAAUAGGCACCGUGCAGUAAUAACACGCUGCCAACAGAAUAAACACAUACACAUGUACACACGCAUUGUAGUCAAUGCAAGGUAAAUCAGCAUUGUCUGUCUGUUAUUAAAAACUAUCGUUAGACAGAAUCAAAAGGUUAACAGUAAAACCUCAGCUCUGUUUUCUGAUAACAGUAUUUAGUCAUGAACAAAUGAAAGUAAUUGUGGCUCAGUUGGUUCUCUGUCAGCCACCUGACCCAGUCAUUUUCACACAGCUGUAUAUUUUCAGAAUACUAACUCACAAACAGAAAGAGAUGUUUUUUGUCAUUACUGGCUAAUACAGUGGUUCUCAACCUAGGACUCUGGAACAGUGAAGAGGCUCCAGGGUAUGUCUGAGUGGUCACUGGUUGUAUUAAUUAUUAUAUAAUUUAAUAUUAACAAUGUAUCAGCUGACUAUGUGGGAUGUGCACUUCCUCUCAGCCUUAAGAAAGUUUCGAGAAAAUUGGUAAAAGAAAAUGUGAAUGAAUGAAAUUCCACACAGAUUGGAUGUUUUUGUCAGGUACCAUUUUCUUGUCUUUUCAGUGCAGCAGACACUUCAGUGGACAUUUAAGUCAUAUGCUUAAGGUUUUACAUUUCUGGAGUUUCUACUCUCCCAUGACUUCUGUGACUUCAAAUUUUCCAAAAACACUUCCAACCAUCUGGCUCAGGAGAGAGAGAACAGAGUGUUCCUGGAGUCUCUGCUGACUUCCUGCCUCCUGAACAGGAUUCCUGACUUAGCCAGUGAUGUUAACAAGCCAGCUGUGAACAUUUCCCAUGUUUACUGCUUUAGCUGCUGCAGCCUGGACACAAACACCAGCUCCCACCUCACAAACCAAAGAAGAAGAAGUUCUUUGAGACCAGGACUGAGUCCUCCAGGAUUCAAACUGGAACCAUGGACCCAUCACAGAGAGAAGAGACAGACGUGAAGACAGUGUUACUUUAUUCUUUUCACUCUGACUUGGUCAUUAUCUCAACUGUACGUUGACUCUUUAAACUUUUUGUCUGGAACAAAUUAAAGCUACUGUAACUUAUCAGUCUGAAUUAGGGUUUGUCAACAAUGUGGCUGCAAAAAUAUGGAAACUAUAUGUAUAGUCAGAACAGAAUAGAAACCCUUUUGAUAAUUAGGUUUGACAUUGAUAUACAUUAGAGAUGGCAGAGAAAAACGAAGUGUUUUCACUUGAACAACAGGAAAGCAACACAGUUUACAGCAGUUAGAUGGUGGAGCUCUUUUAUUUCAUUAACAGCUUCAUUCUUUCAUCCACUUCAGGUCUUCAGCUGCUGUCGUCUUCUCCUCCUGCACAGACAAGAACACGCAUUGAUCACACAAACUCAUCUAAGCGAGUAGGUGGAGCAGAAUCAGUCGACCAAUCAGCGUUUCGUAUGCCGACGUUGGCUGGCGUGUGACGUCAUCGUUCUGGAUCACGAGGAGGAGAGCAGGUCGGUGGAGGAACAAUGGCGAACAGUCGAGUGAAAAUGGAGAUUAAAAUCAACGUUUUACGCCAUCGUUUUUACCUGGGGUUGUUGUCGGUGUGAGAAACUUUGUUGCCGAAGAAGCGCGGAUGUUACAACGAGCCAGUUACAACACACGCCGAGCUCACCUGCAGCAGGAGGAGGUGAGGACAAUAAACAAGAGGCCAGAAGAUCCAGGACAGGCGUCUCUAGUUUGUGCAAUGCAGAUGAGAUGAAGAGGGAGAUAAGAAGGGGCAAGGACAGCUAUGGGAGGAAGCCGGAGGAGUGCCUUCAGGGUAACGAAACCAGAGAGGUCUGGAAUCUGGCAACAGGGAACCUGAAAUUGACACCACUCACAGCAGGGGUCAGUGGACAUCCCUGCCCCUUCAUUAGAUCUGAGCAGGUGAGGAGGGUGUUGAGGAAAGCUACAGGACCUGAUGGCAGGUGUGUGGGGCUUUCUGCACAUGUUCAAGUUGAAGAGAACUUUAAGUGGAGAGAGUUUGGCCGCUGUGGAAAACAUCCUGUGUGGUCUCAGUUCUGAAGAAGAUGCUGUCGUCUAUGUGGUGCACAGACGUCUUUGUGUCUCUGUCUUGCUCUUUGGACUCCAUUGAGGAGUACUUGUAGGCAUGAAGAGAUCCUCUACCAAGAGUGAGAUGUUGGUUGUGACUGCAGAGAGUGUUCACACAACGAAGUAGUUCUUUUGGACCAGGACUGAGAACAGGUGUCUCCACUUUGUCCAUGAUUGCAGAGCGUCUUUAUACACUGCACAAGUUCUUUGAGAGCAGGACAGAGGCUUCUAGGUAAUUCACAGUUUCAUCAUUUGUCUAAUUAUACAAGUAGUUUGUACAAGUUGAGGGACAAAUAGUAUGUACAGUUUUGAAUGUGUGUGUUUGUGGAAAAGAGAUGCUUUGUUAGACGUUGAGUUGCAAGUGUUACGAUGAUUUUGUCCAGGUAAUUGCAAUGUGCUUUAUGUGAAUUGUGUUAGGCAGAGCAUUGAGCGUUGUUUAUGUUUAGUAUUUUUUCUCAUGUGGUAUAUUUGAAGGUGACAUGUGAAUGUUAUGGUUUGUUGAUGAUUGUCUUGCUAAUAAAGGGGUUUUGUUUGUGUGUGUUUUUUUUAUACUUUUAUGAUUUUUUUUGUUGGUUUGGCUGAAAUUUUGGGAAGGGAGGAUUGAAGUUGAUGGCAAGUUUUUUCUGAGAUGUGUUUUUAUGCCAGAUUUCGAUGAAUUUGUUUUGUUCAUUGCUCAAAACGAUGGUUUAAGAAUUGUGGGGGGAGGGGGGGUGGUUAUUUUGUAAAAGUGUGAUUUUAAGUUUGUUCUAAUAAAGAAG